UCCUUGAUAGCUUAGUUCGUAAAGAAUCUGCCUGCAAUGCAGGAGACUCUGGUUCGAUUCCUGGGUCAGGAA
rfam:Ovis aries breed Texel chromosome 9, whole genome shotgun sequence.